rnacentral:rRNA from 1 species
UACGUAGGGGGCAAGCGUUGUCCGGAUUUACUGGGCGUAAAGAGCGUGUAGGCGGCCACGCAGGUCCGUUGUGAAAGCUGGAGGCUCAACCUCCAGCUGUCGACGGAAACCGUAUGGCUAGAGUCCGGAAGAGGAGAGUGGAAUUCCUGGUGUAGCGGUGAAAUGCGCAGAUAUCAGGAAGAACACCAAUGGCGAAGGCAGCUCUCUGGGACGGUACUGACGCUGAGACGCGAAAGCGUGGGGAGCGAACAGG